GGCUUCGUAGCUCAGCUGAUAGGGCGCUUGCCGCGUUUGGGGCGUGGUGUUUCUGUCGCUGGUUCGAAUCCAGCUUAAGCCC